rnacentral:lncRNA from 1 species
AAAAAAAAAAAAAAAAAACAAAAAUUUUAAAAAGGCAGCAAAGGGUAGUUUUCAUCUGGUGUCUUUUAUUUAAGUUUUUUAAGUUAAGAAAAGCUGGUGACAUAUUUAUACGUUUUUGUGCAAAAAUAAAUGAAUGGCAAUAGAUUUUAAAAAAAUCUUAUUAUGUACUUCUGUGUGAAAAAGUCUGUAUAAUAUUUCCCUUAAAUAUGCAUUAUUUUACUUGUGAGUUUUUUUACUGAAUUAAUCUGAAAUGUACAAGCCCUGGAUUUGCUACAGAGUGAAAAGUUAUUUUAUUUUUUUUUUA